CAGCAGCCGCGGUAAUACGUAGGGUGCAAGCGUUAAUCGGAAUUACUGGGCGUAAAGCGUGCGCAGGCGGUUUUGUAAGACAGAAGUGAAAUCCCCGGGCUCAACCUGGGAACUGCCUUUGUGACUGCAAGGCUGGAGUGCGGCAGAGGGGGAUGGAAUUCCGCGUGUAGCAGUGAAAUGCGUAGAUAUGCGGAGGAACACCGAUGGCGAAGGCAAUCCCCUGGGCCUGCACUGACGCUCAUGCACGAAAGCGUGGGGAGCAAACAGGAUUAGAUACCCCCGUAGUCCCUGUCUCUUAUAC
rnacentral:rRNA from 1 species